AACAAUAUUCAUUCUUAGGUGAAAAUGAUUGUAUAAUUCAAAAUGGUUUCAACAUUUUUGUGUAGGAAUACAUACUCUUGAGGAUGUUAAUAGAAAAAUAAAAAGAAGUCUCAUAGAAGAUGAGUAUGAGAAUUGGUAAAGAGUUAGCUUGUUUACUGUCAUUCAGUAGCUUUGACUAAAAAAUUUUGCUGUUUCUAAAAGUUGUUGAGUCAUGGUUUGGGGGGAUUUUUUUGUUUUUUGCAGUACUGGAGAUUUAACCCAGGGCCUUGGACACAUGGGAGGCAAGGGCUUUACCACAGAGCUACAUCCCCAGCCCUUUUUAAAGUUUAUUUUUGAGACAGGAUCUCAGUUGCCCAGGUCCUCUCAGACUCUUGCAGCUGGAGUUACAGUGAACUUUGCUGCUCACAUCAUUCGACAACUGUCUCUGAAAGGUUUCAAGUGUCCAAGAGUCUGUGGCUUGGUCUGCCCUUAGUUUCAUGGAGGAAACCAAUCAAGGU
rnacentral:lncRNA from 1 species